UACGUAGGGUGCAAGCGUUGUCCGGAAUUAUUGGGCGUAAAGAGCUCGUAGGCGGUCUGUCGCGUCUGCUGUGAAAACUCGGGGCUUAACCCCGGGCCUGCAGUGGGUACGGGCAGACUAGAGUGCGGUAGGGGAGACUGAAAUUCCUGGUGUAGCGGUGAAAUGCGCAGAUAUCAGGAGGAACACCGGUGGCGAAGGCGGGUCUCUGGGCCGUAACUGACGCUGAGGAGCGAAAGCCAGGGGAGCAAACGGG
rnacentral:rRNA from 1 species